AUGAAGAACGUAGCGAAAUGCGAUAAGUAGUGUGAAUUGCAGAAUUCAGUGAAUCAUCGAAUCUUUGAACGCACAUUGCGCCCUUUGGUAUUCCUUAGGGCAUGCCUGUUCGAGCGUCAUUUAAACCUUCAAGCUCAGCUUGGUGUUGGGUGACUGUCCGCUUCACCGCGGACUCGCCUCAAAAUUAUUGGCGGCCGGUACAUUGGCUUCGAGCGCAGCAGAAACGCGAACUCGGGCCCGUCGUAUUGGCUCCCAGAAGCUAUCUUCACAAUUUUGACCUCGGAUCAGGUAGGGAUACCCGCUGAACUUAAGCAUAUCAAUAAGCGGAGGA
rnacentral:misc_RNA from 1 species